UCCGGUCGUCGCGGAGAUGGCGACGCAGCCAGACGUAGCGGUUUUGGCGCUGGCUCCUUCUGCGUUUUACAGGACAGAUGUUUUACGGUCCGUUUCUACUGCGUCUCUGGCUCUCAACUCGACGACGCCUCUCAUGGUUCAACCAGGCGUGGUCAGCCGGGGUCAGCACAGCGCGGCCGGCUCAACUCGUCCGAUCGCCGGACCGCAGGCGACUUCCGAUUUCGGCCGUUAGGCCUAGGAUCCGAAGGACUCUGUUUCCGUGAAGCGGUAAGCGAAUCUCGUCCCGUUUUCGUUCUACUUUUAAAUUACGUUAGGUGCGCUACAGUGUAAGCAUGCGUGCCAAGUGUUCGUGACAAUUUUGAACUAGAAUAAUUGUGCUUCAUUGCGGUUUGUCAUUUACGAAAAAGUAAAUCGAGCAAUGAACGAGGAGCCAUGCUUGAAAACGAUGUAUGUACGAUGUUAACUUCUACCUGGGCGGCUUAAAAAAAAGUCAAGACUGGUUACGGUUGGAUGCGAGGCUGGUCCCAAUGCAAUGGUAACCACUUAGAGCACCUUUCUGAACAGCAUGUAAGCAAUAUAGCGAUCAACGAGACGAGCGACGACGAGAAGCUACGAGUGCCGGCGCCGAGCGACGAAGAUUUCUCACUCUCGCUGCUUGCGCCGCUCGGUUCCUGGGCUUCUAGAAAACGUCGCUCAUCACCUUGAUCGCUCGCACCAAUCGCUUUCAUAAUGUGUGUCUCGUCGCGCAGCUGACUACCGUGUUUAUUCAAAUAUAUGUCGACCUUUUUUUUUUCUUUUCUUUUAUUUAUUUAUUUUUUUUUUUUUCGGAAAUCGUGACUAAAGAAUUUCGACCUACAUUCGCGACCAAAUUUUGCGACCGUACCGGAGGCAUGAAGCUAUCGAGUCACCGAGCCGGCGUUGCCGUAGAGCUGCGCCGCUUCUUGUUUCCAAAGGCUUUUGUUAAACAACCGAAAACAACAGCGGUGGCCGAUGCCGCUAUCGCGCGCACCUCUUGGGGCAUUGGAUUUCGCCAUCGCACCUCUAGCGUUCCCCUUGCUGGGCAAUGGGGAAGGAGAGGAACGCGAUGCGCCAUGCACUUUGUCCUCCAUCCUCGCAAACGCGCACAAAAAAAGAAAAAAAAAAGAUGUUACUUUUGUUAGUUGCUUGAGGCGGCUCGGCUCGCGUGUUGCUCAUGGCGACACGGCGGCUUUGUUUGCGUCUUUGUAGUUUGUCUUUCGUCGCUUCGCACCUUCUUUCGUUUCUUGUCGUCAUUUUACAACGGUGUCAGUGAAGUAUUGUAGCGGAUUUGCGAGGAUGUCUACCAAGCUGUGAAGUGAUGUAAAUAAAGGUUUCUUUCUUUUGCCCAAAAUUUCCCCUGUUCUUAAAAAUAAAAAAAAAGUCGACCUAUAUUUGAAUUUUUUUUUUUUAUUCUCGGUGGGUCCAACAAAUAGAGUUCGACCUAUUUUCGAGUAAAUACGGUAGCUUUAAUUUUUAUUUUGGGUUACGUCGGACGUAACUCGAAUGCUUGACAGUUACGUUGGGCGUAACUUUAAUUUUUAUUUCGGGUUCCGUCGGACGUAAUGUUAGACACUGCGUUACACUUAAGAAAAAUAGGGGCUGAUGGUUCAUCAUAUAAACCAACCAUUUGUGUUUAAUUAAAGCGAAUCACUGGCCUAAAAAAAAUACUGCUGUCCUAUAGGAAUGUAGCGCUUCAGAUAAAUUUGUUAAUUUUUGCUUUUAGUCUCUGCCCCACCAGAUACAACAUCUGGCCUAAAGCAGUGUUCCGGAUCUCCUUCCAAGACCUCAGGCGGGUCGUCAUUCAAUCCAGGAGGCGGCGGCGUCUCAUGGGCGUGUUGCUGGUGCUUCUUACUGGAUGGUGCUACCGAGGGAAAAGUGGUCGUGCUUGGGAAAGGCAAAUGUGCUCGCUCCAGGCUCAUCAGGCGCUGAAACGUCAUCGAAGGUAGCAGACGGGCUGGAGGUGGAACAACGGAGACUUCUCCCUGCCUUUCUGAUGGUGCCCAUAUGAGGGAGUCACUCCGAGAGCCUCACCAGAGUUUCCUGCCCGUGGUCGUUCUAAAUGUUUUUGUUGUAGCUACUUGGGUGCCUCAAGAUCUGGAGAUCCUAGUGGCCACAAGCUUGGACUCAAUCUUUUUCUGUGGUCUGGGCAGGACCAUGGGGGAGGUAAUCCCAGCAACAAGAGCAUCGCAGUAUCUCCCUGGCUGUGACUUUCGGUCUGCGUCACGACAGGGGAGUCCUCGUGCCACCAGGUGUUAGGUGCGCUCGCAGCACAAAUCUGGGUUGUGCUGAUCCUCUACGCACAAGUUAGGAACUCCUGAGUGGCAAGAGUGGGAGUUUGGUCUGACAGCUCAAGGGACACCAUUGUUCAGUAUUGAAUUUUUAAUAAUCUUCUUUUAAGCAAAGUUAAGCUUUGCUGCAUGCAGUUCUUGUAAAAAUAAAUACCUGCAACCAAAUUUACCAGGUCACGA